AAUUAGUUUAUAUUUGAUUUGAACUCAAAAAAACAAGCCAAUAAAGCUUACUAAUUU
rnacentral:tRNA from 1 species